rnacentral:rRNA from 1 species
UAGUCCCAGCUGUAAACGAUGAUUACUAGGUGCUGGAGGCAUCAACCCCUUCAGUGCCGAAGCUAACGCAUUAAGUAAUCCGCCUGGGGAGUACGAUCGCAAGAUUGAAACUCAAAGGAAUUGACGGGGGCCUGCACAAGCGGUGGAGCAUGUGGUUUAAUUCGAUGCAACGCGAAAAACCUUACCGGGGUUUGACAUGGGAGCUCCCUUCGGGGAGUUAAUUCUAUGAAAGUAGAAUGAAUCCACACAGGUGCUGCAUGGCUGUCGUCAGCUCGUGUCGUGAGAUGUUGGGUUAAGUCCCGCAACGAGCGCAACCCUCGCCUUUAGUUGCCAGCAGGUCAAGCUGGGCACUCUAAAGGGACCGCCGGUGGAAAACCGGAGGAAGGUGGGGAUGACGUCAAGUCCUCAUGGCCCUUAUAUCCCGGGCUACACACGUGCUACAAUGGUUCGUACAAAGGGACGCAAUAUCGCGAGGUAGAGCCAAUCCUUAAAGCGGGCCUCAGUUCGGAUUG